UGUUCUUUUUCACCGCUUUUCUCUAGCGUGAGGCUGGCUGCGCGGAGGAGGGAGGCUGCCGUGUUCUGCCUCGGUCUGUUUUCUUCUUCCUGCCUGUUGGUAGAAGCACACUUGUCAGGCCCCUGCGGUGAAGGGAAGAGGAGGAGACAGGAGAAGAGAAAGAGCAGAGCAUUGAGCUGGUGGUACAGCACUGCUAGCCUGUGGCAUCGUUGUGAGAAUCAGCAAAUGGCGUCUGCUCUGGGUGCACAGGGCCCAUGCCAGCCCACGGAGCACGGCAAGCCCAGUACAGGCUGGGUUUUAGUCUCCACUGUCCCCUCUGCCUGGAGCCUUGUUCAGUGAACAGCCUGUGCAACUGUGACCACCAUCCCUGACUGGGAGAAGACUGAUCCCAGCUGCUGUGGAAGAUGCAGCCUCAAAAGGAACUGAGAUAAGUGAAGGGGAAAAACCUGCUGUUGGUUAUGGCUACGGUGUCUGAUGGGUGCAAAGGUCCAAUCUAUUUCCAGAAAGCCUUACCACAAGGCAAUCACUCCUACUCAUUGAGUACAGCUCUUUGCAUUCUCCAUCAAGGCAUGCACCAAAGCUUACACAGUCUAGUUCAUCUCUCCCUCUCCUCUUCCACCAAACUUGGACUCCGUCCCUGUUUCUAUCCCUGUAUUAGUUCCUUUUACUUCUCAGGAAGAGGCUCCCUAGACUUCAGAGUGAAAUUUCUACCCCCAAACUUUCUGCUGCUAAUAUUCACUACCAAUAACUGGUGCCUAAUUCUGCUAAAAAAAAUAUUUUCCCUCUCCCUCGUAUCAAUGACACCUUUUUCAGAAAGAAGAAGAAAAGAAGAUACGAGGGUAAGGGAGCAUGAGGGUGGAGAAAGUUCUGCCUCGCCACAUGCAAUUUUUUGCCUUAAUACAUUUUUUUCUUAGAAUAUCUAAAGCUCUCAUCAGAUUCUCAAAAGAGUCCAUGACCCCAGAAUUUCAAGAGCCACUGCUAUGAAAGGAUUCAUAAAAUCCCCUAAGACAAGGGCAUAGAAAGUUCAGGGAGGCUUAUGAAAUCCAUUUUAUCCCACUGUCUGAGUCUUAGCAGGUUAUCUAAUUUCCUUCAGACCAUGGGCACGGACAUUGUUGCUUAUUUUCCUCACUGGCUUGGAUGCCCCCAGAAUGACAUUAUUCUAAUUGCCAAUUAGCAGGUGUCUCAUUCUUCAGUUUGUCACCCACAAAGCUACCCUCUAUUGUGUCCCUAGAGUUGUGAUUCAAGCAGCUCUCUCAUUGGCUUUAAACUCCUCCAUCCCCACCUAUCUGACUGCAUCUUGCUGUCUUCCCCCAGCCCUUCACGUCAGCCAGGCUGGUCAACACACUGUCCACAACAUGGGCAUCAUGGCCAUCUACCUCCAAGUCACCACUCACAAUGUCUUGUCACCUUUCUCCUUGCUUCUCCAGAUCCUCUCUAUAAUUUGAACUCUUCCAGAGCGGGGCACUUGCCUCUGUGUUCCAGGAGCACCCGUGUCCCCUGUCACGCACCCGUCAACGUGGGUGCUCACUCUUGCCUGGCCCGUCCGCUCGCCGGCUGGCCUAUGUUAAUAUUGGACCCGAUUUACCGAUAAGAAAACUGAAGCUUAGAGUUCAAAUGACUUCCCUGAAGUGACAUAACUGCAGGCGGCAGAGUGGAAAUUGGAGCUCACGCAGUCCGACUCUAAACUCUGUCGUCUCGAUUGCUGCACAUUCCUGCCUCCGUGGAUGAAUUCCUGUUUUGGUGCAGGUGUCCAUUCUGUUCCCAGUGACAUAGAUUGAAGAGGAUCAUCCCUCCAUUCCAUAUUCUGUGCAAAGCUGAGGCUCUCCCUGAUCCUUCUGGGAAUUCAGGCAUCCGUCCAUCUGGGCUAAUAGGGGUGCACGGGCGAAUGUCGGCUGGGCACAAAGUCAGCGUGAAUGACGGCUGCGGGAUCACUGACAGGGUCUGACCUCUCCCUCCGGCCGCUGGGCCUCAUGAGACCUCCUUGUGGAAACCAUCUUCCCGGAGACAGCGUCAGUGAAGUCCUGCGACCACUCACCCCCUCCCUCCGCGUGUCCUCUGCCCCAGGUCAAGCCCUUAAGACCCUUUCCCUGGACUAGCACGCUUCCUUCUCACGCUACCACUCCUCUUUCAAAGCGCACAUCUGAGCGCAGGUUUCUCAGGCAAACCGCACAGCCAUGCCCGUGGCAUUCUGGACGGAGGCCGAGCACAUGAAGCCCUCCAAGGCCUGACCCCACCCGCUCCGGUCGGUUCUCCCCGUGCCCCAUGCUGCAGGCACCCAGCCCUGGGUCCCCAGUCCCCACUGCCCUGGAGCCGGUGGCCUUGCGGGCAUGCCUCGUGGGCCACCUCCCGGGAGAGGUGUCCACUACUGCCCCUACACAGCCAACCUGAUUUCAUCUACUGGGCUCCCAUGCAGAUAAUUUUUUUUUUUUUUUGGUAGAAGGGAUUCUGUGGUGAGGAAAAAGUUUGAAGGGUACUGUUCUGGUACUACGAAACUGCCCACAGUUUCCUACAGGCACCGUGCCAUCUCACACGUCUGUGUUUAUGCUGUUUGUGCCUCUGGGAAUGCCCAUUUUCCUAUUCCUGGGAUUUCCUCAUCCUUUGCUAUGAACGUUUGGACUGAAUGUUUGUGCCUCCCCCAAAUUCAUAUGUUGAAAUCCUAACCUCCAAUGUGAUGAUAUUGAGAGAUGGGGCCUUUGGGAGCCGAUUCAGUCAGGAGGGUGGAGCCCAUGCUGGGAUUAGUGUCCUUAGAAGAAGAGGAGGAGAUACCACAGCUCCAUCCUGCACCCCUGCCUCCCAACUUCCACCAUGGAAGAAUACAAGAAGGUGGCUGUUCGCAAGCCACAAAGUGAGCCCUCACUAGAUCCUAAAUUUACCAGUGCCUUGGUCUUAGAUUUCCAGCCUCCAUAACUAUGAGAAAUAAAUGUCUGUUGUUUAAGUCACCCAGGCUAUGGUACUUUGUUACAGGAGCCAGAGCUGACUAAGACAUUUCUCAAGAAACUCCACUUCCAAGAAGCCAAUCUGAAGGCCAGGGUGGGCUAACAUACUGUGCCUGUGCUCCCACUGAUCCUGCAUGAUGCUAUAUUAUUUACUGUAUUAAACUGAAAGAUUACUUGUUUAUGUGUGUACUCUGCCCAUUAGGAAGUAAAUUCCUGAAGACA